UUAGUGUUGGUGAUGGUGACAACUAUUACGGCCAUUGGUGAGCUGUCCUAAGACCAGUGUCCACUGUGGGUAAACACCGUUCCUCAGACAGCCUCAUGCUGAAUCCACAGGAGAUGUAGAAGCAAACAGAACUUGAUGGACAAGGAUGGGCGAUCCUGAGUCAGGCGCGUGCCCCAUGGAACCGAAUCUACUGUACACAUGCAUUUCCCCAAAUAUCCUCCAGAAAGGAGAUUUUAAAACCCAGAACACAGCUAGCACGAGAGAGAGUGCAAGUGGGGAGAGAAUCUUAAGCUUCA